rnacentral:rRNA from 1 species
CGACCGGCGCACGGGUGAGUAACACGUAUGGAACCUGCCCGCAGCAGGGGGAUAAGCGGAAGAAAUUCCGUCUAAUACCGCGUAACACCGCAGAGGGGCAUCCCUCGGCGGUUAAAGAUUCAUCGGCUGCGGAUGGCCAUGCGGCGCAUUAGCUAGUCGGCGGGGUAACGGCCCACCGAGGCGACGAUGCGUAGGGGUUCUGAGAGGAAGGUCCCCCACACUGGUACUGAGACACGGACCAGACUCCUACGGAAGGCAGCAG